GUAUAAUGAUGAUAACCAUGCGUGUCAGCUGACUCUGUAACCCUCUGCUGUCUUGUUGCUGUGGUCGGCGUUUUGUUGGCCAGAGUUUUCAUCACAGCAGAGCUGCAGAGACGUGAUCAUAUUUCACUACUUCUGAAUAC
rnacentral:snoRNA from 2 species